rnacentral:lncRNA from 1 species
GGGAGAUGCUCUGUGUGCAUAUACCAUCUGUAUGCACACAGAGGUGCUGUGCCUGGCUUCUGUUUUCUCCCUAAAAUGCCCCAUCCCAGCCUGUUGCCAUUCCCUGUGCCUUGACUUUGGGGACGCCCCACGCUCAGGGUUGGCUCCCUUCCGUCCAUCUGUCCGUCCAUCCCACUACAGCGAGCUCAGCAGAGCCCCCAUACGCACACCCACAGCCAUGGGAUGGGAGCCCUCGGUGAAUGUAUAUACAGGUGUAUUGGAGAGCAGGGCCGGGCUCACCCCUGGAGAGGGAUUUUGGUCCCCAGAUGGGCAGUGAGGGCAGCGAGGACCUCGAUUCUGCUCAAAGCAAGGAUUAGGGCUGCAGAUGAGUGCAGUGGAUUUGAGGCUUACAAUGUGAGUGUGGAGGCUGGACCGUGUGCCAUUUCUCGCAAUGGUGCCUGAUGUAACCCUGGCUGUCGCCCCAAAUGCUGCACCCCACUAUAGCAAUAGCACCCCGGCAGCAUCCCGCCCCGAAGCCAAGCUGAAGCUUUAAACUCCACUCCCCAGGGUGGGGGAGCGGGAACAGGACCAGGACCCCCCCCCCGGCCCAAAGGGAGCUCUGGGACAGGCGGCAGUGGCCGGAGCGUGGGGGCAAGUGGGUCCCCCUCCCAGCACAGGCUGUUGUAGACUCCCCCCCUAGAGACACGUAUCUGUGACCCCUACCCUGCCCUCCCCCGAAACCCACCAUUUUUUUAUUUUCCAUUUUCCUUUUUUUUAAAUAUUAUGUACUAUAUUUUUAGUCUUAAACACGA